GCCGAGGUGGUGAAACUGGUAGACGCAGCGGACUCAAAAUCCGCCGGGCUUCGGCCCAUGAGGGUUCGAAUCCCUCCCUCGGCACUA
rnacentral:tRNA from 1 species